rnacentral:rRNA from 1 species
AGCUUGACAUUGUAAGUAAAUAAUAAUUAUGAAAGCAAAAAAUUAUGGCGGUAUUUUAAGCUUUUCAGAGGAAUUUGCUCUUUAAUGGAUAAAACACCAAAAUCUUACUUAGAUUUGUGAUUUCAAUUUGUAUACCACUAUUAAAACAAUUUAUAACUUUAAUUGUUUAAAUUUACAAAACUAAAAUAUAUUAAGUCAAGGUGCAGUAAAAAUUUAAGGAUGAAGUGAAUUACAUUACUUUUUAGUGAGAUAAAUUUAUAACAAUAUUUAGGAUUUGAAAGUAAAAUUAAAAUAGGAUGUUAAUUUGAAUUAAGCUCUAAAAUAUGUAC